AGAGUUUGAUGGUGGCUCAGGAUGAACGCUAGCGGCAGGCCUAAUACAUGCAAGUCGAGGGGUAACAUGAGUACUUGUACUUGAUGACGACCGGCGCACGGGUGCGUAACGCGUAUGCAACCUACCCACAACUGGGGGAUAGCCCGGAGAAAUCCGGAUUAAUACCCCAUAAUGCAGGGGUGCAGCAUUGUACUAUUUGCUAAAGAUUUAUUGGUUGUGGAUGGGCAUGCGUCUGAUUAGAUAGUUGGUGAGGUAACGGCUCACCAAGUCGACGAUCAGUAGGGGGUCUGAGAGGAUGAUCCCCCACACUGGCACUGAGAUACGGGCCAGACUCCUACGGGAGGCAGCAGUAGGGAAUAUUGGUCAAUGGGCGAGAGCCUGAACCAGCCAUGCCGCGUGAAGGAUGAAGGCCUUCUGGGUUGUAAACUUCUUUUAUACAGGAAGAAAAAGGUCAUGCGUGACCAAUUGACGGUACUGUAUGAAUAAGCACCGGCUAACUCCGUGCCAGCAGCCGCGGUAAUACGGAGGGUGCAAGCGUUGUCCGGAUUUAUUGGGUUUAAAGGGUGCGCAGGCGGUGCGUUAAGUCAGUGGUGAAAUCCCGCAGCUCAACUGUGGAACUGCCAUUGAUACUGGCGCACUUGAGUACGGACGAGGUAGGCGGAAUUUAUGGUGUAGCGGUGAAAUGCAUAGAUACCAUAAAGAACACCGAUAGCGAAGGCAGCUUACUAGACCGUAACUGACGCUCAUGCACGAAAGCGUGGGGGAGCGAACAGGAUUAGAUACCCUGGUAGUCCACGCCGUAAACGAUGAUCACUCGAUGUGUGCGAUACAAUGUACGCGUCCAAAGCGAAAGCGUUAAGUGAUCCACCUGGGGGAGUACGUUGGCAACAAUGAAAACUCAAAA
rnacentral:rRNA from 1 species